UCUUCUAUCUUUUCCCUUUUUUCCUCACGAAUCUCUGCGAGUUUCUUCUUAGCAUAAACCCUAAGAUCGAACUCAGCCUCUCUCUCUCUCUCUCUCUCUAUAUAUAUAUAUCCUAUAUUCCCGGAUCCACCUCUCAAAAUUACUAAUUUACUCCUCACGAAGAUUAACCCUACUAAGAUCGAAAUCAGAAUCUCUCUCUCUCUCUAGCAAUGGAUCCGUUAUCGGUGCUGAAGGACUUCACGACGCGCGGAGACCUGGAUAAAAUCGAACGGGUCGGAGCCAAUUACCGAUUCGGAUCCGGAUACUCCUUCCCCUGCGCGACAGAGACGGCGUACAGAUCCAAAGGCGGAAGCCUCUACACUCUAGAAGCCUUAGUCCACUACGUGAAGAACCACCACCUCAAGCUCGGAGAGUACAUGCAAUCCACCGUCAAAAACUCCGUCCCCGCCGUUACGCUACCGGAUCGGAAACCUCUCCUCGAUUACCUCACCGGGAGAGUAGCCUCCUCCGAUUCGAUCGACUACCUCCUGCUCCAGCAGCAGAACGCCCAGAGCCAGAAGCAGAACGAAGAGUACAGACCCGAUCAAGACAACUCUGCUUUCGUCUCCCGAGAAAACGCCGUCGAAGAGGUUGACGGUUACGGCGGAGAGGACGUUGAUUACAUUAUGCUGAUUCGGUCCAACGAGAGGCCGUUGAAGAGCCGAGACGCGAUCCUCGAGUGCAAGAACAGAGAUUUCCACAGCGUGUUGGUGAAUUCGACCAAAAGGGAAGAGGAGAGGCAGAGGAUCGAGUCUCACCAGAGGAAAGACGGCUUGGUCGCCAAGAGUAGGUUGAUGGGUGCUGAAGAGAGAGGCAUUGUAGGCUUCACCGGCGGCGGAGGUGAUGAUUCUGGUUAUGAUGCUAACCCUAAGUCUAAGCUUAGGAAGAUUGGGGAAGGUGUGCCGAUCAUUCUUGUCCCGAGUGCGUUUCAGACGCUGAUUACUAUAUACAAUGUGAAGGAGUUUCUUGAGGAUGGAGUUUAUAUACCGAAUGAUGUUAAGGCUAAGGAGAUGAAAGGGGUGAAGCCUGAUUGUAUUACGGUUCAGAAGAAGUUUAGUAGAGAUAGGGAGAGGGUUGUGACUGCUUAUGAGGUUAGGGAUAAGCCUUCUGCUUUGAAGCCUGAUGACUGGGACCGUGUUGUUGCGGUUUUCGUGUUGGGCAAGGAUUGGCAGUUCAAGGAUUGGCCUUUCAAGGACCAUGUUGAGAUUUUCAAUAAGAUAAUUGGGUUCUUCUUGCGGUUUGAAGAUGAUAGUAUUGAAUCAGCCAAGACGGUGAAGCAGUGGAAUGUGAAGAUUAUCUCGAUUAGUAAGAAUAAGAGGCAUCAAGACCGGGCUGCAGCAUUAGAAGUCUGGGAAAAACUUGAGGAGUUUGUUCGGUCUCGGUCACAUUCUUAGCAUCUAGCAGCUGUAGAAAGUCACUUUAUGUUGAAGUUCUAUGUUUCAAGAAGAUUAGCCAUUGAAUGGGUGAGGAAGUUUCUACCUUCUGCUAGCUUGAGCUGUGAAGACAAUCUACUCCAGUGAUAUGUAACGGUAAAGAGAUCCAAUAUCACCCGGAGAGUAGGGACUCACGGAGCACAGAAUAAAUACAUCACACGAAGUCACAAGGAAAUGUGAACAAGUAGGGAAAAAUAAAGAAUGCAAUCUGAGUGGUAUAAAAGCUUCAUAGGUUUCAGGAGAACUGUGGAUGGGGAAACUCAAUAUUUCAAGAAGAUUGCCAUGUAGGAAGCCGCGGAAAGGAAGGCAAGAAGAGGAUAUGAGAACUUGAUAGAGCUUCCGUCUGACGAUGGUCCUUCCCCUUCUCCUUCUCCUACCGCGACUGACAGGAGGAGUCUGAACAUUACAAGCUCUUGGCAAAGCAAGAGCCUGUGUUUGGUUAACGUUGAUCCCGAGCUGAGAGCCACCACCGUUGAGGACUUGACACAAACAAUCAGGAGAAGACCGGACUACGUUACCCAGCUGACUGCAGCAUUGCUGAGAAGGAGAGGUAGUGUUUCCGGUUAUGUAGUUGAGACACGGCGACAUGCUGAUCAAAGCGGAUGUGCAAGUCGACUGAGCAAGGACUCUUGUAGAAGACAUCACAGCCAUAAAAACAUCUUUGGAGAUUAAAUGAAGGAUAUAAAUAAGGAAUUGAGGGAGUAGAAAAGUGACAAAAGGUGGCUUAAUACCGGUGACCAACUUUCUCCUACUUCUCUAACAGUUUCUGUGAAGUAUUUGCGUCUUUUGGGCGUUUUGGACACAGAGUGUUGUUGUUGUCUUGUGAACAGAACUGUUUACAUUUGUUUGUUUUGUGACGGUUUAGUCAUUAGUGACUAGUGGGUUGUUGAACUACUUAUUGGUUAUUGUUUGUUAUUUUUUUUCUUUGGAUUCA